GACGAACGCUGGCGGCGUGCUUAACACAUGCAAGUCGAACGGAAAGGCCCUGCUUUUGUGGGGUGCUCGAGUGGCGAACGGGUGAGUAACACGUGAGUAACCUGCCCUUGUCUGUGGGAUAACUUCAGGAAACUGGGGCUAAUACCGGAUAGGAUCUCCUGCUGCAUGGUGUGGGUUGGAAAGUGUCGGCGGUUGGGGAUGGACUCGCGGCUUAUCAGCUUGUUUGUGUGGUAGUGGCUUACCAAGGCUUUGACGGGUAGCCGGCCUGAGAGGGUGACCAGCCACAUUGGGACUGAGAUACGGCCCAGACUCCUACGGGAGGCAGCAGUGGGGAAUAUUGCACAAUGGGCGGAAGCCUGAUGCAGCAACGCCGCGUGCGGGAUGACGGCCUUCGGGUUGUAAACCGCUUUCGACUGUGACGAAGCGUGAGUGACGGUAAUGGGUAAAGAAGCACCGGCUAACUACGUG
rnacentral:rRNA from 1 species